rnacentral:rRNA from 1 species
GGGCCUAACACAUGCAAGUCGAACGAAGGCCCUAGCUUGCUAGGUUACCUUAGUGGCGGACGGGUGAGUAACGCGUGGGAAUUUGCCCUAGAGUGGGGAAUAACGUCUGGAAACGGACGCUAAUACCGCAUACGCCCUUCGGGGGAAAGGCUUCGGCCGCUCUUGGAUGAUCCCGCGUCUGAUUAGCUUGUUGGUGGGGUAACGGCCUACCAAGGCAACGAUCAGUAGCUGGUCUGAGAGGAUGAUCAGCCACACUGGGACUGAGACACGGCCCAGACUCCUACGGGAGGCAGCAGUGGGGAAUAUUGGACAAUGGGGGAAACCCUGAUCCAGCAAUGCCGCGUGAGUGAAGAAGGCCCUAGGGUUGUAAAACUCUUUCACUGAUGAAGAUGAUGACGGUAAUCAGAGAAGAAGCCCCGGCUAACUCCGUGCCAGCAGCCGCGGUAAUACGGAGGGGGCUAGCGUUGUUCGGAUUUACUGGGCGUAAAGCGCACGUAGGCGGCGUACCAAGUCAGAGGUGAAAGCCCUGGGCUCAACCUAGGAACUGCCUUUGAUACUGGUAUGCUUGAGUUCGGAAGAGGGUAGUGGAAUUCCAAGUGU